rnacentral:misc_RNA from 1 species
GAUGAAGAACGCAGCGAAAUGCGAUAAGUAAUGUGAAUUGCAGAAUUCAGUGAAUCAUCGAAUCUUUGAACGCACAUUGCGCCCGCCAGUAUUCUGGCGGGCAUGCCUGUUCGAGCGUCAUUACAACCCUCAGGCCCCCGGGCCUGGCGUUGGGGAUCGGCGAAGCCCCCCGUGGGCACACGCCGUCCCCCAAAUGCAGUGGCGGUCCCGCCGCAGCUUCCAUCGCGUAGUAGCUAACACCUCGCGACUGGAGAGCGGCGCGGCCACGCCGUAAAACACCCAACUCUUCUGAAGUUGACCUCGAAUCAGGUAGGAAUACCCGCUGAACUUAAGCAUAUCAAUAAGCGGAGGA